rnacentral:rRNA from 1 species
UACUCCUACGGGGAGGCAGCAGUAGGGAAUCUUCCGCAAUGGGCGAAAGCCUGACGGAGCAAUGCCGCGUGAGUGAUGAAGGUUUUCGGAUCGUAAAGCUCUGUUGCCAGGGAAGAACGCUUGGGAGAGUAACUGCUCUCAAGGUGACGGUACCUGAGAAGAAAGCCCCGGCUAACUACGUGCCAGCAGCCGCGGUAAUACGUAGGGGGCAAGCGUUGUCCGGAAUUAUUGGGCGUAAAGCGCGCGCAGGCGGUCAUUUAAGUCUGGUGUUUAAUCCCGGGGCUCAACCCCGGAUCGCACUGGAAACUGGGUGACUUGAGUGCAGAAGAGGAGAGUGGAAUUCCACGUGUAGCGGUGAAAUGCGUAGAUAUGUGGAGGAACACCAGUGGCGAAGGCGACUCUCUGGGCUGUAACUGACGCUGAGCGCGAAAGCUACCCCC